UACAGAGGGUGCGAGCGUUGUCCGGAAUCACUGGGCGUAAAGGGCGCGUAGGUGGCGCUGCAAAUCGGUGGUGAAAGCUCGUCGCUUAACGACGAGUCGGCCAUCGAAACUGCAGGGCUGGAGCACUGUAGGGGCAGAUGGAAUUCCGGGUGUAGCGGUGGAAUGCGUAGAGAUCCGGAAGAACACCAGUGGCGAAGGCGGUCUGCUGGGCAGUUGCUGACACUGAUGCGCGACAGCGUGGGGAGCAAACAGG
rnacentral:rRNA from 1 species